rnacentral:tRNA from 1 species
GCAGUGGUGGUUCAGUGGUAGAAUUCUUGCCUUCCAUGCAGGAGACCUGGGUUUGAUUCCCAGCCAGUGCA